rnacentral:rRNA from 1 species
UCCAGACUCCUACGGGAGGCAGCAGUGAGGAAUAUUGGUCAAUGGGCGGGAGCCUGAACCAGCCAAGCCGCGUGAGGGAAGAAGGUACAGCGUAUCGUAAACCUCUUUUGUCAGGGAACAAAGGCGGGGACUAGUCCCCGGAUGAGGGUACCUGAAGAAAAAGCAUCGGCUAACUCCGUGCCAGCAGCCGCGGUAAUACGUAGGUGGCAAGCGUUAUCCGGAUUUACUGGGUGUAAAGGGCGUGUAGGCGGGACUGCAAGUCAGAUGUGAAAAUUAUGGGCUCAACCCAUAACCUGCAUUUGAAACUGUAGUUCUUGAGUGAUGGAGAGGCAGGCGGAAUUCCGUGUGUAGCGGUGAAAUGCGUAGAUAUACGGAGGAGCACCAGUGGCGAAGGCGGCCUGCUGGACAUUAACUGACGCUGAGGCGCGAAAGCGUGGGGAGCAAACAGGAUUAGAUACCCUAGUAG